GACUCCCGUGCGGAGACCCCUACUCAAAUCUUGGGAGGAUGUGCACCCAUGGAAUCACGAGAGACCGUCUUGAUGUAAUUACAAGAGGAAACACCCAUCUCUACAUCAUAAUGUGAGACUGGCUCUUGCUGAAUGGCUUUUCAGCCCACAGCUCCAUAUGGAAACACUAUGCUUGACAUGUUGAAUGCCUAGAUCUUUAGUCCAGUAUCACUCACUGCCUUGACUCGAAAUAUUUUAUCCUCCAAGUUUUGAACAUGUGAAAAUUGGAAAACUUAAUUUACCAUAAGAGUUAACAACAGUGGGUGGAAAAGAGAGGGGGCUCUCUUUUCUAAUGUCUGACUAUCUAUUCAGAGAAAGGUUCUGCAUGUCUUGGAGGCAAAUGGCCACAAUUGGACUAAUCAUUACUACGAGAGGAUUCACUUGUUUUAGAAUGGAUCUUCUUGUCCGUUCCUGAGACUGAAGCUUAAGCCAGUGGCUCAAAACAGACACUUGGGCCUCUCAUUGAACUUUGGGCAAAUUCAACUUCAGGGCCAUGUCCAAGGAAUCAAGACUACACAGCUCUCCUAAUCACUUCCCUCCACUGACUCCAAACACAGGAGGAUGUGCCUUCAGAUGCACACUGUGCGGAAUUCUGGUACCAAGAAUCUGUCUUCUGUGCACGGGUUGGGACAAAUGUUACUAUAAUAUGCUAAAUUGCUCUCUCUCUUUCUCUCUUGCUUGCUCUCUCUCUCUCAUUGCAUGUGUGUGCAUCAUCUGAAUAAAACAGCUUCAUAACUUGUA